AAAAUAAGAAUGUAGAGGAUAUGAGUUCACGUGCUUUUACUCCACAGUCUCAACAAGGAAGUGGUAUGGAGGGAGGUAUUGCACCAGUGGAAAAUGGAAAGUGUCAACUAUUGCACUGGUACUUGGUUGAGGAGGAAAUUGUAGGCUAAGGGAAGAUUGCAUCAAUAGACCCAAGUACAAAUGUGCAUCACGUGCCACUAGGACGAGAUUGUUGGAAGGUUUGGGUUGACGAGGUGUACAUGAGUCAUUAGCCCUUAUAUAGACCAAUGGAAGAAUUUCGAGUUCUUAGUGACGCCAUAGGAAGUACUAUUGCUUGGCCAAAGAGCUGCAUUAGACUUAUUUGACGAAGUUACAUGGAGCUGAAGUGAGUUCGAAAAUCUCUUUUGUGCUUGUAUCGUCUUGGAUCUCGUCUAUGUAAAAAGAUUUGGCUGGGACUCGUUAGAAGCUUCGGUUAUGAAUCGUUUACAUAACUUUUAGACAUUUUUCAUAGUUCUUUGGUUAGAUGGUGUAUAUUUUUGAA